rnacentral:lncRNA from 1 species
CUCUGAAGAAUUUAGCGGAGCAGAAGAUUCAUGCUGGAACUGUCCAACAAGGCAGUUCAUUGGUGUAUUUUCAUUCAUUUGCUGCCGCUGUCCAGUGUGUAUAGGAUAAUCUGAUUUUGUCCACAUUUUUGCAAUGUUCUUUUGUUUCCAACAGCUGAUGUUUCACCCGAGAAUUGGAUUACAUUUUGUGCUGUUUCUUUUUGGUCGAUCUUUGCAGUUGUUGUCCUUGAAG